ACGGAUGUAUAUUUUUCUUCUGUGGAUUCAUUUUUCCCCUAUCCGUUGGUAUUUUAGUCUGCUUUGCCUUUAUCCUUAGAAACAAAGAGUAUGUUGUCCAGCUUGCACAUGGGGGGGUUGUCUCGUUCGGAGCAGUAGGGGUACACAGUAUAAAUUCUGUGUUCAUAUUGGUGUAAUCCUUAAAAAAAAAAAAAACAUAUCUAGGUGUGUUAUACCAAGUGAAAAUCCAACAAGGAUCAGGAGCAAUUAUGGGGGGAAGACCAGGAGGAUCAAUUCGAGAUCACGGUCAAGAUCCACCUCCAGUGCUUCAUCCUGUUUGGGAUGGUUACAAAGUUCUCCUUCGAUUCUAGUAUGUAUUCUAUAAGCAAACCCUUGACACUAGAGGGUUUGAAAUACUAGGAAGAGUAUUAUACGUCAUAUAGAGAAUAAUGCAUAUUGCAGAGUGUAUGGUUCAUUUGGGGAACUUGGAUUUUUGUCUUGUCCAGACUGCCGUUGACAACCAAUGUCGUGACGAUCACCACUUUCCGAAUUGUUGAUGAAGGAGAAGGAAGCUGCAUCAUCAAGACCUUGCAUUCAACUUCUACAUCGGUUUCAGCUUCUCUGCAGAUUGUGAGGAUAACGAACCUAGAGGAGGAGAAGAAGAAGAAGAAGAAACAAGGUGCCAGGGACUAGUGGAAAAGAGACGCAACGGGAAGCGCCGGAACAAAAAAAAAAGCCCCCCAAGUCUAUUAAAUCCUUGGGCAUCUGUUUGAAGAGACGCUUCAUUUUGGGCAAACCCUCAAGUUGAAUUGAAUUGAAUUGGAAUUUGGCAGUCACACUCUUCAUGCUCUCUCUCGUGAAGUUUAGUUGGGUUUGUUGUGACGCUAUUAGAUGAAAGACUCAGGAUUAGAGAAGUGGGUUUUUACUGUUAACUCUUUUACUGCCUUGCCUGCCACUAUCCGAUGGGGAGAGAGUUUUCACCAGCUGCUUAAUUACUUUCACUCAUUAUUCUGGACUUGUAAUCUGCAUAAUGUUACUUGUUAUUAGUAAAUUUGUGCUCUAAAGAUUGGUGAUGUAUUAUUUUAGUAAAUCGAGAAUAUUAAUAUUGAUAUUAAGAGUAGUU